UCGGAAAUAACGUGAACCACUCUGCAUUGCCGAAAGCUCUGUCCAGACGACAUUGAAUCCAAACUUUUUCUUUCACACCAUUGUUCAUGAUCUCCCUAGCGCCUCCCCAAGACAGUCUAUUACCAGAGCUCGGUACUUCUUUCAACCUGCAAUCCCUAGCCAAAGCUCUGAACUCAAAGAAAGAACUCUCCUCGCAUUGAGGCCCUCCCACUUUCUCUGAGUUAUUCAUAAUCUCAUUAAAAUCACCAACAAGAAACCAGCCACUAUUCCUUCGCAAGCCAACAUCUUUUAACUCAUUCCACACUGCUGUUCUUUGAUGUCGAACUGGAUCACCAUAAACAAAGGACAUAAAAAACAUAAAUCCCCGAGCUUAACUUCUGUAUCUAUUAUCCUCGCAGAGCUGAUAGAAUCUGCACC
rnacentral:lncRNA from 1 species